UACGUAGGGUCCGAGCGUUGUCCGGAAUUAUUGGGCGUAAAGGGCUCGUAGGCGGUUUGUCGCGUCGGGAGUGAAAACACGGGGCUUAACCCCGUGCCUGCUUCCGAUACGGGCAGACUAGAGGUAUGCAGGGGAGAACGGAAUUCCUGGUGUAGCGGUGAAAUGCGCAGAUAUCAGGAGGAACACCGGUGGCGAAGGCGGUUCUCUGGGCAUUACCUGACGCUGAGGAGCGAAAGCGUGGGGAGCAAACAGG
rnacentral:rRNA from 1 species